UGGAAUUUUCCUUGGACUAGCAAGAGCCCUGGGUGGCAGAAGCAAAACCACAGCACCCAACACCACCUGGGCUAACAUCCAUUUGCUCCCUCUUGGAAGGUCUAUUAUUUUACAGAAUGGAAACAGAAGACCAGAGGCAGGCUUGACACCUGUAGGCUGAAUGUAGCCUCCCAUGAUUCAGAUGAAUUGUGUUGUGCCUCUGCCAAGCUUGCAUCCCUUGGAAACAGAACUGCCAGCCUGGAGGAAGAAAAACUAGGACCAGGGCAGUAUCUGUGAAGCUCAAUCUAUUGAGGCACGCUUAAACAAGGUCUCUUCCCUUCCAGAAGGACAGCAGUCACAGUGGAUGAGAAGGCCCUUGAAUGACCCAUUGUAAGAGUAUGAAAGAGCCAGUGAAAACCCCAGGCAGACAUACUGAGCAGCCUCUGAAUCACUGAGAAACACAGACAAGGGUGGUGAUUUGAGGAACUGGAAAGCAAGUCCUUCACCAGCUUUGUCUCCUUGCUGUCACUGCCAGUGUCCAAGGCGAGCAAGACUUUCCCUGCCCCUCCCUGCGUGUGCACGCAUAUGUGAGUGUGCGCGUGCGCGUGUUCGCAGACCUGGGAGCGCGGGCCUCUUUCUGUGUGUUCUUUCCCACACACCCGCUUCCUCUUCUGCCUCUCAUGCCUCAGUCCUCGGAGAAACCAGCACAAGGUUUCCAUUAGUGAAGCACAUUUUUGUGCUAUGGAUAUUGAACCAGAGAGGAAAGAAAGCAGACUGUUGUCCAUGAUGGAUGGGUUUUCUAGAGGACUUCCCAGGGUGGUCCUUAAGGGGGCCAGGAUGGAGCCGUGAGGGGCUCACAGCUUCACAGCCUCCCCUUGUUUCCGAGGACGUCUGUGUUGGGGGGGUGUCUGCUCUGCCGCCAGCCUCUCCCACCUCCAUUCACCCCGCGCCUGCCCCUCCUCCUUCACCCUCCCCUUCCCCCAACAGCUCCAACCUCCAGUUUACCUGAGUGCAAAAAUGCUUUCUAAG